AUCUACAUUGUUUUGUGGUUGCUUUUGUAGUUAGGUUUAGUAACUUAAUGUUAAAUUUACUGGGAAUUUCCAAGUAAACUUAACUUAUAAUUAUGGAUUUUAUUUGACAAUUUCCAAGAUUUUUCAAUUAAAUCCCACUCCAUUUUUUUCUCAGUGUUAAAAUCCUAUGUUUUUUCACUAAUUAACUCUUUUUUUUCUGGUGUAUUGAAACAAACUGCUCCUUUGGAGGAAACUGGCCUGAUAUUUUUUUUUGGGGAUGAUUUUUAAUUUCAGACAGAAAUCUGCCUGAAUCCUUCAUGGGAUGAUUUGAAACUUUAGGUGAGAAAAAGGACCUGUCUUUCAGCUUUUUAACAGAAAUCAUAAUUAACUCUGUUGUUUUUUAUUUAUUGUAACAUCAAACUGCUCGACUGGAAGGAAGUGACCUGAAUCAUUUUUAGGAUUAUUUUCAACUUCAGAAACAUCACGAGGAGAAUCCACGUCUUAUAAGACAUGAACGUUUUUGCCAAUAAGGUGAGAUACAGAGAAAACACGCUUUCUUGUUUAUCGUCAGAGACUAUAUAUUGUAGACUUAAUAAAAGCGGUCUGUAGGUCGUUCACUUAAUGUGACUCAAAAGUAACAAAGUUUUGUUUUAAAAACCCCUGCAACCUUUGGAUGAUCGUGGAGGCUGGUAAACAGACCUGAACCUUUCAUGAGAUGAUUUUAAAGUUCAGGUCAGAAAAAAACCAGCUGCUUUUAGGUUGUUAACUAAACUCAUAAUUAACACUAUUGUACUUUUUGUACUGAAACAACGAACUGCAGCACUGGAGGAAAUCAGCCUGAACAGGCCUUGGGAGCAUCUUCAUUUUUAAGGUAGGAAGAAGAAGCCGUGUUUUUAGGCUCUUAGUGGAAAACUAAUGAACUAAUGAACACUGUUGUGUUUUUUUCACGUUGAAAUACCAAACUAACAUUUGAAUGAAACCGGACGGAAACUUUGGGAGGAUUUUCAGUUUCAGGCAAGAAAAACAACCUCUUUUUUUAUUAGAAGCGAACCGAUAAUUAAAUGACUAAUAAUCAAAUAAUAACUGACACAUUUGCUCUUUUUAUUUGUAUUUAUACGACAAACUUCAACACUGGAGAUAAAAGGCCCGAAGCACUGAAUGAUUUUCAGUUUUAAGGAAAUCCCACCGAUCUGAGGUUAUUAGUACACUGGAAAAAGAGAUUUGAUGCUGAAGGAAAUACUACAAGUGUAUCUUCUACACUAAAUCAUUUACUUCAGAGGUGAACCAGAGAAAACCGGUGUGGGUUUUGUCCACUUCAUAUGUCUUGCAUCACAGAAACAUUACGAGAGAAAUCAGCCUCUUAUAUACCAAUACGUGUACUGUAAAUGAACCAGAUGGAGUUCUGCUCAGUUGGAUCCUGUCAUAAGAACGUCCCUCUCUGAAUGAAAGCAGACUCACUCAGAGGAGCAGGGUUACGCUGAGGACGCGCUCAACCGGCCUUCAGUACCACACAGAC